UACGUAGGGGGCAAGCGUUGUCCGGAAUUAUUGGGCGUAAAGAGCGCGUAGGCGGUCCGAUAAGUCGGCUGUGAAAGUCAGGGGCUCAACCUCGGAACUGCCUUCGAUACUGCGGGUCUCGAGUCCGGGAGAGGUGAGUGGAAUUCCUAGUGUAGAGGUGAAAUUCGUAGAUAUUAGGAAGAACACCAGUGGCGAAGGCGGCUCACUGGCCCGGUACUGACGCUGAGGCGCGAAAGCGGUGGGGAGCAAACAGG
rnacentral:rRNA from 1 species